rnacentral:rRNA from 1 species
UACGUAGGGCGCAAGCGUUGUCCGGAAUUAUUGGGCGUAAAGAGCUCGUAGGCGGCUUGUCACGUCGGGUGUGAAAGCCCGGGGCUUAACCCCGGGGUCUUGCAUUCGAUACGGGCUGGCUGGAGUGUGGUAGGGGAGAUCGGAAUUCCUGGUGUAGCGGUGGAAUGCGCAGAUAUCAGGAGGAACACCGAUGGCGAAGGCAGAUCUCUGGGCCGUAACUGACGCUGAGGAGCGAAAGCAUGGGGAGCGAACAGG